rnacentral:rRNA from 1 species
UGCUGGAGGUAUCAGAAGUGCGAAUGCUGACAUAAGUAACGAUAAAGCGGGUGAAAAGCCCGCUCGCCGGAAGACCAAGGGUUCCUGUCCAACGUUAAUCGGGGCAGGGUGAGUCGACCCCUAAGGCGAGGCCGAAAGGCGUAGUCGAUGGGAAACGGGUUAAUAUUCCCGUACUUGGUGUUACUGCGAAGGGGGGACGGAGAAGGCUAUGUUGGCCGGGCGACGGUUGUCCCGGUUUAAGCGUGUAGGUGUGUGUUCCAGGUAAAUCCGGUUCACUUUAACACUGAGGCGUGAUGACGAGGCACUACGGUGCUGAAGCAACAAAUGCCCUGCUUCCAGGAAAAGCCUCUAAGCAUCAGGUAACAUCAAAUCGUACCCCAAACCGACACAGGUGGUCAGGUAGAGAAUACCAAGGCGCUUGAGAGAACUCGGGUGAAGGAACUAGGCAAAAUGGUGCCGUAACUUCGGGAGAAGGCACGCUGACACGUAGGUGAAGUGAUUUACUCAUGGAGCUGAAGUCAGUCGAAGAUACCAGCUGGCUGCA